GGAAGGGCCAUAGCUCAGUGGCAGAAUGUUUACUUUACAAGCAGAACUUCCCAGGUUCAGUCCCUGGAGGGACUCCUUCCU